rnacentral:rRNA from 1 species
ACAUGCAAGUCGAGGGGCGGCAUAAAUUACUUGUAAUUUGAUGGCGACCGGCGAACGGGUGCGUAACGCGUAUGCAACUUACCUUUUACUAGAGAAUAGCCAAGAGAAAUUUUGAUUAAUGCUCUAUACACUUACUAACUUUCAUGAGUUUGUAAGAAAAGCUCCGGCGGUAAAAGAUGGGCAUGCGUCCUAUUAGCUUGUAGGUGAGGUAACGGCUCACCUAAGCUCCGAUAGGUAGGGGUCCUGAGAGGGAGACCCCCCACACUGGUACUGAGACACGGACCAGACUUCUACGGAAGGCAGCAGUAAGGAAUAUUGGACAAUGGAGGAAACUCUGAUCCAGCCAUGCCGCGUGAAGGAUGACGGCCUUAUGGGUUGUAAACUUCUUUUAUACAGGAAUAAACCUAUCCACGUGUGGAUAGCUGAAGGUACUGUAAGAAUAAGGAUCGACUAACUCCGUGCCAGCAGCCGCGGUAAUACGGAGGAUCCAAGCGUUAUCCGGAAUUAUUGGGUUUAAAGGGUCCGCAGGCUGUUUGUUAAGUCAGAGGUGAAAUCCUACCGCUCAACGGUAGAACUGCCUUUGAUACUGGCAAACUUGAGUUAUUGUGAAGUAGUUAGAAUGUGUAGUGUAGCGGUGAAAUGCAUAGAUAUUACACAGAAUACCGAUUGCGAAAGCAGAUUACUAACAAUUAACUGACGCUGAGGGACGAAAGCGUGGGUAGCGAACAGGAUUAGAUACCCUGGUAGUCCACGCCGUAAACGAUGGUCACUAGCUGUUCGAUGUACAUUGGUACAUUGAGUGGCUAAG